rnacentral:piRNA from 1 species
UGGGAUGAUCACCAAGAACAACAGCCUUAGU